CGACCCCAGCUCAGGUGAGAACACUCGUUGAGUUUAAGCAUAUAAUUAAGUGGAGGAAAAGAAACUUACAAGGAUUCCCCUAUUAACGACGAGUGAAGUGGGAAGAGCCUAGCAUGAAAAUUGGGUGGCAGCGUCACCUAAAUUGUAGUUUGUAGAAGCAUCCUUAGCGAUGGACCGGGCCCAAGUCCCCUAGAAGGGUGCGCCUAAGAGGGUGAUAGCCCCAUUAGGUCGGGACCCUGCCACACCAUGAGGCGUUGUCAGCGAGUUAGGUUGUUUGGGAAUGUAGCCCUAAUCGGGUGAAAAUUUUUGUCCAAGGCUAAAUAUGGGUGAGAGACUGAUAGAAAACAAGUACCGUGAGGGAAAUAUGAAAAGGGAUUUGAAAAGAGAGUUAAAGAAUGCUUGAAAUUUUCGAGAGGGAAGCAAGUGGAAGCUGGCGAUGUGUCUCGGUCAGAUGCAGAACAAAUCAAGUUGGUCCGCCGCUGGACUCAAGGUGUGAACCAGCACAAGUCGUUGCAUAGACACAAGCGCAGGUGGAGUACUUCCUAUUGGUUUUCCAUUUUGGCGGUUGAGGAAUGAAGCAUGCGCCCUUGGGGCAGGCCACUGUGCACCUGCACGCUCGUAGUGUUGGUUGGCGGGCUUUCCAUUCAACCUUUCUUGAAACACGGACCAAGGAGUCUAACAUGUGUGUGAGUCGGUGGGUUUGUAAACCUGCGAGGUGUAAUGAAGCUUACGGGAGAGAACCCCUCUCCAUGGGGUGCAUUUCUGACUGACCUUGAGCUUGUACGAAGGGUUCAAGUGCGAGCACACCUGUUGGGACUCGAAAGAUGGUGAACUAUGCCUGAGUAGGGUGAAGCCAGAGGAAACUCUGGUGGAUUCCCGUAGCAAUACUGACGUGAAAAUCGUUCAUUUGACUUGGGUAUAGGGGCGAAAGACUAAUCGAACCAUCUAGUAUCUGGUUUCCUCUGAAGUUUCCCUCAGGAUAGUUGGAGCUCACGUGCGAGUUUUAUCGGGUAAAGCAAAUGAUUAGAGGCAUUGGUGGUGUAACGCCCUUGACCUAUUCUCAAACUUUAAAUAGGUAAGACAAUGCAGAUGCUCCAUUGAGCCGUGCCAUGAAAUGGAGAGCUCCAAGUGGGCCAUUUUUGGUAAGCAGAACUAGCGAUGCAGGAUGAACCGAAAUUUGAAUUACGGUGCCAAACUGCACGCUAACCUAGAUCCCACAAAGGGUGUUGGUUGAUUAAGAUAGCAGAAUGAUGGUCAUGGAAGUCAAAAUCUGCUAAGGGGUGUGUAACAAAUCACCUGCCGAAUCAUCUAGCCCCAAAAAUGGAUGGCGUUGAAGCGCACAACCUAUACUCGACCAUUGGAGAAAUUGCCAGGCUUUGAUGAGUAUGAGGACAUAGGGGUCAUUGAGAAACAUUGGGCAUGAGCCUGGGUGGACCGAUCCCCGAUGCAGAUCUUGGUGGUAGUAGAAAAUAUUCAAAUGAGAACUUUGAAGACUAAACUGGAGAAAGGUUCCAUGUGAACAACACUUGGACAUGGGUUAGUCGAUCCUUAGAGAUGGGGAAGCCCUGUAUCAAGGGUGCACUCUGCACGAACAUCGAAAGGGAAUUGGGUUAAUAUUCUCGAACCGGAACAUGGCGACAGACGAAAAUGUUAGGAAAUCCAUAGACGUCGUCGGGGGCCCCGGGAAGAGUUAUCUUUUCUUUUUAUAGCUUGCCCACCCUGAAAUCAGCGCAACCAGAGAUAGGGUCCAACAGCUGGAAGAGAAUCGUACAUCUUGUGGUGUCUGGUGUGCCCUCGGUGGCCCUUGAAAAUUUGGAGGACCGAGUACCAUCCAUGCCCAGUCUUACUCAUAACCACAUUAGGUAUCCAAGGUGAAAAGACUCUGGUCAAUAGAACAAUGUAGGUAAGGGAAGAUGGAAAAACGGAUCCGUAACUUCGGGAAAAGGAUUGGCUCUGAGGGCUAGGCCUAGAGGUCUGCAUCCUCAACCCGUGGGCUGUUGAUAGUCUUCCCAAGCUGCUAUCGUGGUGAGGGCGGGAAGUCAUGUGUUGAUUGGGCUACUGACAUAGAAUGUCCUCUCGCGGGGGCUUUUCCCUAGGAAAUGAACAGUCGACUCAAAACUGGUACAAACAAGGGGAAUCCGACUGUUUAAUUAAAACAAAGCAUUGUGAUGGUCCCUGCAGAUGCUGACGCAAUGUGAUUUCUGCCUAGUUCUCUAAAUUUCAAAUUGAAGAAAUUUAACCAAGCGCGGGUAAACGUCGGAAGUAACUAUGACUGUCUUAAGGUAGCCAAAUGCCUCGUCAUCUAAUUAGUGAUGUGCAUGAAUGGAUUAACGAGAUUCCCACUAUCCCUAUAUACUAUCUAGCGAAACCACAACCAAGGGAAUGGGCUUGGCAGAAUCAGCGGGGACAGAAGACCCUAUUGAGCUUGACUCUAGUCUGACUUUGUGAAAUGAAUUGAGAGGUGUAGAAUAAGUGGAAGUCGUUUUCGGUGCAAGUGAAAUACCACUACUUUUAAUGUUAUUUUACUUAUUCUGUGCGGUGGAGACGGGGCAUUGCCCCUAUUUUUUUCCUUAAGACACAUUUUGACGAGUUGAUCCGGGUGAAAGAUAGUGUCAGCUGGGGAGUUUGGCUAGGGCAACACCUAUGUUAAAAGAUAAUGCGAGUGUCCUAAAAUGAGCUCAAGGAGAACAAAAAUCUCGUGUGGAACAAAAGGGUAAAAGCUCAUUUGCUUUUGAUUUUCAGUACGAAUACAAACCGUGAAAGCGUGGCCUAUCGAUCCUUUAGAAUUUUAGAAUUUGAAGCUAGAGAUGUCAGAAAAUUUACCACAGGGAUAACUAGCUUAUGGUAGCCAAGCGUUCAUAGCGACGUUUCUUUUUUAUCCUUCGAUGUUGGCUCUUCCUAUCAUUGUGAAGCAAAAUUCACCAAGUGUUGGAUUGUUCACCCACCAAUAGGGAACGUGAGUUGGGUUUAGACCGUCAUGAGACAGGUUAGUUUUACCCUACUGAUGAACCAUGCCACAAUAGUAAUUCAACUUAGUACGAGAGGAACCGUUGAUUCAGACAAUUGGUCAUCGCGCUUGGUUGAAAAGCCAAUGGCGCAAAGCUACCAUGUGUCAGAUUAUGAAUCAAUGCCUCUCAGUCAAAAUCCACGCUAGAAGCGAUGCUUGUCACUCCUCGACUAUAUCUUGACCUGCAGUAGGGGUGUCACUUCGGAACCCCCAGGGGCUCGUGUCACUUGCGAAUCUCAGCCAGGAAGCAUCUCGGUCGAGGCAUAUUUGAAGUUCAAUUUCAAAUGGUUGUUGAGAAGAAUCCUUUGUAGAUGAAUUAAACACAGGAUGGGGUAUUAUAAGUGGCAGAGUGGCCUUACUUCCACGAUCCACUGAGAUUCACCCCUUCAUCACCUCGAUUCAG
rfam:Picea glauca, whole genome shotgun sequence.